UUUUAAAAUCAAGAAACUCACGAGGUUUGCAAAAGUCACGAGAAUUAGGACUAGCCAAACUAAUGAACUCUGUUGUGGCUUGCUCUGCAAAAGCAGUCAAAGAUAAACUAGGGAUUGAAGCUUGAGUUGGGGCUAUGGUGUGAUCAAUCAAGUCAGGAUUAUAAACUAUUUUAUAUUAUAACAGAAAUAUCUUUUAGUGAUGGCAGGAUAGAAUAAUAUUAUAUAAUUUAUUUUUUAUGUACACCAUUCUGUUUGAGUAGCAACAAUACAGAAACAUUUGAUUAUACUUAA